AGUUCUCGGGGCGGGGUGCAAUUCCCCACCGGUGGUCAAAGUCCACGACUCGCAUUUUAUUGCGACUGAUGCGGCGAAAUUCCGCAACCGACGGUUAAAGUCCGGAUGAAAGAGA
rnacentral:ncRNA from 1 species